rnacentral:ncRNA from 2 species
AUAUAUGACAAGGGGAGCUGGUUACCGGCUGAGAGGUGUGAAGAACACGACCCUGUACCUGAUUUGGAUAAUGCCAACGUAGGAAUCGUCGACAAGUAGCACU